UUAAAAUAAAUGUUUAUAAUAGACUAGAUAAGCAAUAAUUUACAAUAUUUACCUGACAAUCUAAACCCAAAUAUAAAAUGUUUCUUAUCUUGACCAUGAGGCACUAAUUUGUCUUACACAUUAUAUAAAUGCUUGGUUAUACUCAAUUUAACUAUCAAAUUAAAAUGUUGCAGAAAAUAAUUAUAACUGCCAUGCUGUUAAGCAUGCUUUUUAGUAUCCACAACGCCUCUCCUCUACAACAAAAGCAUAACCUCACAACAAGCAUUGCUAACUUACAAAAAGUUCUACUGCAAAAGAACAAUGAACUAAUAUUCAGAUCCAGCAACACCAGUGCAACAGUUAUAAUAAGCGCAGUACAAACAAUAGUGGAUAAUAUUAUAGCAAACAUUGGUACCUCAGUUAGCUCAUUGAUUACCACUGUUACCCCCUUAGCGACAACACUGCAAACCGACCUAGUGAGCCCAGUGUUAAGUUUAAUAAAUACCUUAAGUUCUUUAACAUUUAUUCAGGCAGUGCCCAAUGUGUAUGCUGUACUUUUAGUCGCACAGAUUGUAUUAACGAUCGGUAAUGCCACACUGGGCAGUGCUGACACUAUAGGAACUGUUACUACAAGCCUUUUUGGGUCUAUACAGACUAGUGUAGAUUCCAUUUUCAGUUUGAUACUUAGUUUUGUGUAAGACUGUUUAUGUAUUAUAGUACAAAUUAUGUUCAAUUGUAUUUGAGGUUUGGAUGGUUAGUAAAAGUUUGUUUUAAA